GAAGGAGAAGUCGUAACAAGGUUUCCGUAGGUGAACCUGCGGAAGGAUCAUUGUCGAUGCCCCUAACAAGCAACCGACCCGUGAAUUUGUUUGACUACUUAGGGUUGGCUCGGGGUGCUUAGCACCUCGACCUCCCUUGGGUUAGGGGGAGGUCACGUUGUGCCCUCUCCUCUUAGCCGAAACACAAACCCCGGCGCGGAAUGCGUCAAGGAAUCAUAAAUCGUUUCACGUGCUCUCGUCCACCUGGGGGCUUUUGCUCGUACGGGUGGCGUUGCAGCACGUUAUGUACAAUGACUCUCGGCAACGGAUAUCUCGGCUCUCGCAUCGAUGAAGAACGUAGCGAAAUGCGAUACUUGGUGUGAAUUGCAGAAUCCCGUGAACCAUCGAGUUUUUGAACGCAAGUUGCGCCCGAAGCCGUUAGGCCGAGGGCACGCCUGCCUGGGUGUCACACAUCGUUGCCCCAAUGCCAAUCGCCUCACUUUGUAGGUAUUUGCUUGGGGUGAAUGUUGGCCUCCCGUGAGCUUUGUCUCACGGUUGGUUGAAAAUCGAGUGCAUGGUGUCGGGUGUACCAUGAUGGAUGGUGGUUGAGUGAUGAUGCUCGAGACCAAUCAUGGGUAACUCCACCAGAAUUGGGCUCGGUGACCCACAUGCGUCCCUUGGAUGCUCCCUAAGGAGACCUCAGGUCAGGCGGGGCUACCCGCUGAGUUUAAGCAUAUCAA
rnacentral:misc_RNA from 1 species